rnacentral:lncRNA from 12 species
GGGGGGGGGGGGGGGGGGGGGGGGGGGGGGGGGGGGGGGGGGGGGGGGGGGGGGGGGGGGGGGGGGGGGCGGAGCCCUGGGUGGGGCCGGCGCUGCCCGGUAACUGCGUUAACUCCGCGGCUGCCAGUGCUGGGAGAGGGGCGGGACGGCAACACCUCAGGCGUGACCUGGAAGAGGAGGGCGAGGGGCGGCGUUCCUAUGCGGAGCCCGCGAUGUGGGCGAGGCCGUCUUAUUCCGUCUCUAUGGCACAGUCCGACUGCGACAGCAGAAUCUGGGCAGGUGCUUCUUCAUAGCCGCCGUUCCUGUCAGAAUUCCAGAAGGACCUUGCAUGCUAAUUGCAACACCCCAUUGUCGGAUCCAAGCUUUGCGAGGGCUAGGAUCUGGAAGAAUUUUAUCCUCAAGUUUAGACUCUCAGCAGAGCCUCAUGGAUCAAGAGUAUCCCUGCAUACCUGUUCUCCAGCAGAAGUCGAGCAAUGGCCCUAGAGCCAAAACAUGAGCCCAGCCCCCAAGACUGCCUCUGCUGGCUUUGGGCAGCUCCUGAAUUCUAUUUGGAGGUGAGUUUUACCUUCAUACAGCCACACUUUCUUUCAGCGUGGGCUUUCAUCCCUGUCCAUUGUGUCCUUUGUCUGGCUUUAGCAGCCAACACAGGAAGAUUUUUCCUACACAGGGUGAUGUCAUUCUCAGGCAUUUAGCAGAAACCUGGUGAAGGUUUCCUAGAACUCAG